rnacentral:snRNA from 14 species
AGUUUUGCGCAGUGGCAGUAUCGUAGCCAAUGAGGUUUAUCCGAGGCGCGAUUAUUGCUAAUCUAAAGUCAAGACCACACGGACCACGCAACACGAGCAGUGGAUGAGGGGCAAAGGGUCUUUGCUAUAUUAUUUUCAACAGAA